AUCUAUGGUUCGUAAACUUACUUUUAUUGGGAAGAAAAAGUCUCAUUCAUGAGAAACUGACGGUACCCAAUGAAUAAGCACCGGCUAACUCCGUGC
rnacentral:rRNA from 1 species